CAGAUGAACGCUGGCGGCGUGCCUAAUACAUGCAAGUCGAACGCACAGCGAAAGGUGCUUGCACCUUUCAAGUGAGUGGCGAACGGGUGAGUAACACGUGGACAACCUGCCUCAAGGCUGGGGAUAACAUUUGGAAACAGAUGCUAAUACCGAAUAAAACUUAGUGUCGCAUGACACAAAGUUAAAAGGCGCUUCGGCGUCACCUAGAGAUGGAUCCGCGGUGCAUUAGUUAGUUGGUGGGGUAAAGGCCUACCAAGACAAUGAUGCAUAGCCGAGUUGAGAGACUGAUCGGCCACAUUGGGACUGAGACACGGCCCAAACUCCUACGGGAGGCUGCAGUAGGGAAUCUUCCACAAUGGGCGAAAGCCUGAUGGAGCAACGCCGCGUGUGUGAUGAAGGCUUUCGGGUCGUAAAGCACUGUUGUAUGGGAAGAACAGCUAGAAUAGGAAAUGAUUUUAGUUUGACGGUACCAUACCAGAAAGGGACGGCUAAAUACGUGCCAGCAGCCGCGGUAAUACGUAUGUCCCGAGCGUUAUCCGGAUUUAUUGGGCGUAAAGCGAGCGCAGACGGUUUAUUAAGUCUGAUGUGAAAGCCCGGAGCUCAACUCCGGAAUGGCAUUGGAAACUGGUUAACUUGAGUGCAGUAGAGGUAAGUGGAACUCCAUGUGUAGCGGUGGAAUGCGUAGAUAUAUGGAAGAACACCAGUGGCGAAGGCGGCUUACUGGACUGCAACUGACGUUGAGGCUCGAAAGUGUGGGUAGCAAACAGGAUUAGAUAC
rnacentral:rRNA from 1 species